AAUGGACAGAUCAUUAAAUUAUCAGUUUAGAGUAGUUGUGCCUUUUAUUUUACUGGUGAACAACUGUUUUCGCAUUUGGGGCGUAUGACUAGGCUAUUCCAUGAAUGAUUACAAACUUACAAUCAUCGCCUAAGAUAACUUACAAAGCAUAGGUUAAGCUCAGUCUACAGACUUCAGUAGAUACACUAAUUGGUAGGUUAAGCCGAGUCUACAGACUUCAGUAGAUAAACUUAUUUGGUGAGUUUUAUUUGUUUCUAGAAAUAAUAAGUAGGUAAAGAACAAAAAAGAAAGGAAGUUAGAACAAGCCUUGAUUUAGUUAGAAUAUGUAUCAGAUUCAGACCAUGGUAUAGAAACAUUACACGUAAAAAUUGCAGAUCUGGUGGUCUUGAGAGGGGACAACUGUAUCUUAUUUUAACAAUAUUUGAAUACACAUGUAAUAAAGUCAGAUACAAAAUAAUCAUUGUUAUGAGAUUUUCUCCCUUAAGAUUCGAGCUUAGAUCAUCUCUAUAAAAAAAUAAAACAAACUAAAAGAGAUAAACUAAAGAAUGGUGAGUGAUCUUAAAAAGAAUAAAGAAACCCAUUAAUCCUUCGAAUGCCUUCGCUCAAAAAGAAAAAAAAACCCAUUAAUCUCUAGCUCUUCCUCUUUCAAGCGUGUGUAUGAGCUGUAAUGCUAUGUUGGGAAGAAGUUGUAUCUAAGUUAUCAAAGAUCAAAUAUUAUUUUGAUAGGGUAUGAUCAAGAACACAAUAAGUUCAUUUUAUUUACUAUUAAUCGAAACCAAACCAAACUCCAAAGGGGGGAAUGCCCACUAUUGAGGAAAAAAGCAUAAUACUGAGAAACCAAUAUAUAAAUAAAAAUAAGAGGUGUGUAUAGUCGUUUUUUAUAUAAAGAACUCUAGAGUUUAACCUAGAAGUCUGCAAUACACAUUUUACUACUAGAGCCAUGCAUGCAUUAAUUAUACUUGAUAAAUUUUACACAAGAAUGUCAAUUUAUAGAGGAAAUGAUCUUAGCGCAAAUUGGAAGACAAACACAAGUAACAGAACAUGGGAGGUGGUGACUCAGCAAACAAAAACAUUAAGUGACAAACACAAAAUCGUCAAAGACAGUCUAGGUCAAGCACAAAGAAUGGGUGAAAGCCAAAAUAAUAAGCCAACGAUUGUAAUCAUAAAGCAGACACAAAUAGUGUAUAGUUAAAUUUAUCCUAGAUCACACAAAAACACCGGCUGAUGCAUUUGCAGGGUGGGUGAAAAAAAUGAAGAUAUUUAGGUGGCUAAAGGAGCUACGUACCCAACCCACGAGCACGGCCGGCCCUGAGAUUAGAGACUUUAGGCGAUUUAGUAAAUAUUUUAACAAUUUUUUUUUUAGAAAUUUGGAAACCUAUAUCUAUAUAAUUUUCCUCAAAAAUUUAGGGGCCAUAAGCUAAUGUUUCAUUAGGCUUUGCCAAGGAUCAGCCAUGCCCAUGAGUCGGGAAAAUAGAGCAAAAUGGAGUAUUCAAUUGGUGUUUUGUUUCAGAGUAAUUGCAGUGAUGCCAAUGGAACCACCAUAACCUGAAUCAUGCAAAACACAUCAUUUGAAAACAGUGGAAGAUUAGAAACCAAACUUUAUACAGUUUUAGUUUUUAAAAAAAAUUUUGUAUGCAUUAAUGUUUAUGUUUUCAAAUAACAGAAAAGUGCAAAAGGAACCACAUAACCCAUCAAACCAAUGGCAUGGAUUCGUCGCGGGUUAUUCCAAUCCAAUAAUGAGGCUGCAUAGUCCAUGGGGAGUUAAUAAAGGAUUCAUCAACGUUAUUUGAGUAAAGUAAAAAGCGGGAUCUUGACAUCUUGUUCGGUUAAGGCUUGAAGGCUAAACAUUUUUAACUACAUGAUUCUAUUUGUUUAGCCAUAAAGGUUAAGCCAUCGUGACAAAAAAAAACCAUCAAGGUUAAGCCUCUCUACUUGACCCAUUUGCCAAAGCUAACUCUUUUGCGGGUAUUUUCUCAGUACAUAAGAGGGUAUUUUCUCAAUACAUAAGAUACCAAGAACUUACUAGAUGAUGGUUUAGUCAAUAGCCCUUCUACAAACUAUUUUUUGAUGUAAAGUUGUAACUGUAAGCCAACUGACCACGUAAAACACAGUACAUUGUACAGUAAUGUAAAGAUAUCGAAGAGUUCUCGCUCUGUUGACAUAAAGUAUCAUUUACUGCUAAGAGAAACCACAUUAUGGGUUGAUAAAAUACUAUCUAAUAGGACUGAUAAUUAAAAGAAAAACUAUUUAAUAGGAUUGAUAUUUCAUUUUAUUAAAUAUUACUUUUGGUUCUUAGAUCCAAGGUAGAAUUAUGUAGACAAGUCCUCCACUAGAAGACACGAACAAAUAUCAUUACUUUCAUACAUGGGGAGAUGCCAUUUGAAGAACUACAAACAAAACAACAUAUCACAUCACCAAAAUAUCUUCCAAAAAGCCUUUUCCCACAAGAUAUUCUUGAAAGCAACACUUUUCUUUUUAGCAUGACUGUGUAUGGGAUCAUAUGGUAACAGAUAAUGCAGCGUAAGAAGCGAGCUUCAUAAGAGUUCUAUCAGCCUUGCUUUACAUGGAAAACAAACAGCAACACGGCAAAUUUAGAAAAACAGAGCAGACAUGGUCUUUUGUUUGCAGAAAAAAAGAAUCCUAGGGCUUACUAAAAGCAGUAGCUGAGGAAGGUGCCAGGUGACCUCUUUACUUUUAGUAUUUCUCAACAACAGUUUCCAACUUUGGCUUACUAUGCCAAGAUGCAGACAUGAUCUUGGUCAAACCGGUCUCUACAUGCCAAAUUGUACAGAAACUAAAGAGACUGAACAGUUCGCACUUUGUUGGCAUCGACAAGUAGCCUCUUAGCACCUGAAGCUCCAGUAUUGUUUACUCCUGAGUCCAGUAUCAUAAAUCCCAAGGUAGAAGCCAGUAGGAAAGUCUUCCACAUAAAUACAGCAACAGUUAUAAUCGCUGUCAUAAAGUGGGACAUACCAUUUAAGCAUUACCAACAAAACAGCAAAUCACAUCACCAAAAAUCAUCUCUCUUUUUUUUUCUUCCAUAAACAUCUUUCAAAAGAGAUUCUUGAAAGUAACACUUUCUUUUUUAGCAUGGUUCUGUAUAGAAUGAUGUGGUAAGAGAGAAUGCAGAAUGAAAAAACGAGUUUUGCAUAAGGGGCUAUUGGACAAACAGAGUAGACAUGAUCUUUUGUUUGCAGAUUAUAACAAUAUAUACAACAAAAGCAGUAAUACAAGAAGAAUGCCAUCUUUUAUUUCACUUUCCCAACAACAGUUUUUAUUUCUAUCCUUGGCUUACUAUCAGAAUCAGCCAAUAUGCAUGCAUUAUCACAAAAAAACUUGUCUGAUAAGUACUUUCAACAUCACCAGGUUCAGACCAUUCAGACAAGCAAGCUAUCAACUUCAAUAUCCAAAUACAAAAAAAUAUUCAAAAUAAGGAGUGAUGUGUAAGAAGGACAAGCCUUACAUUUCAUCUACUCAAAAUAAUGUCUGUCCCAGCAGAUUUACCUUUUCUUUUCAUAAUUGAUAUAAUAACUCUCAUAUACC